rnacentral:rRNA from 1 species
GAUGAACGCUGGCGGCGUGCCUAAUACAUGCAAGUCGAGCGAACAGAUAAGGAGCUUGCUCCUUUGACGUUAGCGGCGGACGGGUGAGUAACACGUGGGUAACCUACCUAUAAGACUGGGAUAACUUCGGGAAACCGGAGCUAAUACCGGAUAAUAUUUCGAACCGCAUGGUUCGAUAGUGAAAGAUGGUUUUGCUAUCACUUAUAGAUGGACCCGCGCCGUAUUAGCUAGUUGGUAAGGUAACGGCUUACCAAGGCGACGAUACGUAGCCGACCUGAGAGGGUGAUCGGCCACACUGGAACUGAGACACGGUCCAGACUCCUACGGGAGGCAGCAGUAGGGAAUCUUCCGCAAUGGGCGAAAGCCUGACAGAGCAACGCCGCGUGAGUGAUGAAGGUCUUCGGAUCGUAAAACUCUGUUAUUAGGGAAGAACAUACGUGUAAGUAACUGUGCACGUCUUGACGGUACCUAAUCAGAAAGCCACGGCUAACUACGUG